GAUGAACGCUGGCGGCGUGCCUAAUACAUGCAAGUCGAGCGAACGGACGAGAAGCUUGCUUCUCUGAUGUUAGCGGCGGACGGGUGAGUAACACGUGGAUAACCUACCUAUAAGACUGGGAUAACUUCGGGAAACCGUAGCUAAUACCGGAUAAUAUUUUGAACCGCAUGGUUCAAAAGUGAAAGACGGUCUUGCUGUCACUUAUAGAUGGAUCCGCGCUGCAUUAGCUAGUUGGUAAGGUAACGGCUUACCAAGGCAACGAUGCAUAGCCGACCUGAGAGGGUGAUCGGCCACGCUGGAACUGAGACACGGUCCAGACUCCUACGGGAGGCAGCAGUAGGGAAUCUUCCGCAAAGGGCGAAAGCCUGACGGAGCAACGCCGCGUGAGUGAUGAAGGUCUUCGGAUCGUAAAACUCUGUUAUUAGGGAAGAACAUAUGUGUAAGUAACUGUGCACAUCUUGACGGUACCUAAUCAGAAAGCCACGGCUAACUACGUG
rnacentral:rRNA from 1 species